GGUGCGUCAUUGUCAGUUGUCACAGCAGUCAGCAAGGCAACCGGCGUUAUUCGUUUGUGGUGGCCCGAUCUGUGAACAUGAGCUUCCUUCGCCUUAUAGUUGGCCUUUGUUUUCUCUUUGUGAUCUUCGCCACAGCUUCGGUAGAUGGUACGUCCCACUACCAGUGGUGUCACCCGAUUAUCCCCUGCCCGACGGCAGAGCCAUACUGCUGCCGGAAAAAUGGCGAGUGCCUCUGCGUGCCGGACCAAUGUCCCGUGCAGGAUAGCUGUCCCAGGAGAGGCUAAUUCACCCUCCCGUUGUGCCAGCCAGCUCUGAAACGUUGGUCGGCAUGGGAGUAAUUGCAGUUUGCACCAACUUCAUGUAACACCACGGCAGAAGGAAGAAGAGAAGCCAUGGGUGUUUCAGAAGAAGAAACUACGUAAGUGCAGCACACGAUGAAACCUUUGUGGCAUUUUUAGUUUGGGCACGAUAUGCAAAUACAGCCAGAAACGCUA